CUACGGGGCGCAGCAGUGGGGAAUAUUGCGCAAUGGGGGAAACCCUGACGCAGCAACGCCGCGUGGGUGAUGAAGGUUUUCGGAUCGUAAAACCCUGUUUUCUGGGACGAUAAUGACGGUACCAGAUGAGGAAGCCACGGCUAACUACGUGCCAGCAGCCGCGGUAAUACGUAGGUGGCAAGCGUUGUCCGGAUUUACUGGGCGUAAAGGGUGCGUAGGCGGAUGCUUAAGUGAGAUGUGAAAUACCUAGGCUUAACUUAGGGGCUGCAUUUCAAACUGGGCAUCUAGAGUACAGGAGAGGGAAACGGAAUUCCUAGUGUAGCGGUGAAAUGCGUAGAGAUUAGGAAGAACACCAGUGGCGAAGGCGGUUUCCUGGACUGUAACUGACGCUGAGGCACGAAAGCGUGGGUAGCAAACAGGAUUAGAUACCCUAGUAGUC
rnacentral:rRNA from 1 species